AGGAGAGAGGAAAGAGAGGAGAGAGGGAGAGCGCGCGACCGGGGGCCCGACUUCGCGGCGUCGCCCCGGCCAACUCCGGCGGCCAUUUCCUGUGAUUUCAAGUGCUACGGACUCCCAAGAUGAUGAACUUUCAGAUGAGACCAGUGGCACCUCGUUUGGUGGCCGGAGGAAAGAGAACCGGCGAGGGAAAGUUGGAAGAAAAUCAUAUGGGUUUCUCGAUUUUCGAUCACUUUUCCGGCGAUCCGACCGUCGGAUCGGAAAUCCGAGGCCACCGAUGGACUCAGGACGACGAGAUCUUCGAGAUAGGACUGGUCCCGCUCCGAUCGGACACUGUUUGAAAAAGGCGAUAAUCGGACGGUCCAGAUCGCUUGGUGAGAUUUUCGAACUUUUUCGAUUUCUAAAAUUUAAAAAUAAUUUUAUGAUAAUUAUUAACAAAUUUUGGACUUAAAUUAGGUGCGAUUGGAUCGAGGAUAGCUCACCGGCGUCGGGACUGCAUUUUCAGCCAGAUCCGGCUGUCCGACGGCCCGUCUCAGAACGUGGUCAAUAUUAUAGUCAAUCCUAGCAUUUUCAGACGUUCUGGACGCGUUCCAGGUGUCAGAAUUGACAUAGGUGAUCGAGGUCGGCUAUUUUUCUGCAUCCAGCAGCCACAAUAGUCAUCGGUGUACUGCCACAGGAGGAGUUAUUUUACAGAGCAACCUGUUUUCUUCCUCGCAGGUUUAACGUCAAUUAUUUAAUUGUUUUACUAUCUUUUCUAAAUUUUAAAAUCUAGAACUCCGCAUGUGUUAGUAAUAGUGUGGACCUUGUUAGAAAUUGUGUUAAUUUGAAUUUUUGAGAUUUAUAAAUGAAGAUUUGUAUGAUAUUUAAACAGUUUGUAAAAUGAGGUAACAGGGUUGAGCCGGGCUCCCCUAAUUUUAGUCUCUGAUGAUUUCUGGGCUAAGAUGGCCCGAAAUAAAAUUAUAACAGUUUAAUUUAAAUUAUUUUUAUAUGCAUAUUGGGCCUAAAUUGUGGGCUUGGUUAUGGGUUGAGGAAUAGUUAGGCUUACUACGGGCCUCGGGGGCUUUAGGCUGGCCCAGGUCCUAGUGCCGGUCCGGCCCAUAGGUUGGGUCGUGACAAAGUUGGUAUCAGAGCUUAGGCUCUAGAUUCAUGGGAAAUAAUAUAAUUGGGAGUGUAAAAGGAGUCUUGUUAGGAUGUUACAUGCGGAGUAUAGGAUUCUGUUUCGUCUUUUUCUGUAAUUCUUUGUUUCUAGAUUCUGCGUUAUACCUCGGGAAAUAUAAAAGUGCCUCAGUUAGUGUCUUGAUUUUCGUGGAGUACAUAGAAAUGUGAAAUAGAGUUAGCAGACAGGUUGAGGUCUAUCAUGAGGAUACGUACUCCAAGAAAUGCUAUGUUUUUGUCAGUAUGGGUUUAAAUGGUGUGCCCAUUUCGUGCAAGGCACGAGUACAUAAAGGUGAGUCUUGAAAGUACAGUUGCCCUAGAUAAGGAUGAGGAUACCACUGCUGGCAGUCAUCAGUGGAUGACCCAGUCAGAGUAAGUUUAUGAUAAUAGAAGAUUCAAGAGAGAUAAGAGAUUAAGAGACCUAGUUGGUCAGGACGUAUCGUAGUAACUAUACAAUGUUCUCGAUGUCUGCUCUGUAAGCUGCAGAUUACAGUACCGACAUGAGAUUAUUGUGUAGAGCUGCGUACUUCCCUGUAGUGCUUAUGAUGAGGAUGUUGCAGGCAGUCUCUGUUUUGGUACAGUAAUACCAGAACAGAGUUCUAUAUCUGCAGAGAAGUUGGGAACUCCUGGUUAAGAGUCUAGAGUUAGAAUAUUGAAAGGUCACAGUUGGGUGAUAAUUAGAGUCAGUGACUCAGUUGCCCUAGCAUGAGCUAGAGUUACAGUAAGAGUUGCCAUCAGACCAGAGGCUUCGGACUAGUUGCAAAGUAAAGGUGACACCUAUAGAGUGAGAUCAUCUAGUCAUCAGUAUGGAAUUUUGGAUCAUUUUUGUAGUACGACAGACGUUUUGCUUAGAGCUUAGUGAGAAUAGUAUAUCUUGUGGGUAUCAGUAUGGAAUAAAGUACAACCCUAUUACUUAGAGAAGGUCGAAACUAUGAAUUGAUGAUUUACAGAGCUAUGAUAUGAUAAAGGAGACAUUAAUUUGACAUGGUUUUGGGCAAGGUGGUAAAUGUAGUACCUUUGUUGCAGCAAGUUAGGGUAUAGUCCUAUCUUUUCAGAAGGGAUCGAAAG